GGGGCUCUGACUUUCAAUUCAAAUUCCAUCUGUGCUACAAGCUUAUUAUCUUUGGGUUGCUAAGUUUAUUUCCUCCUAUGUAAAAUGGAAAUAAAUAACAUCUUCUAUCUCAUAAACUAUGAGGAUUAGCUGAGACUUUUGUGAAAGUGCUCGGCACAUUUCUUGAUAUAUAGCUCAGUACAAUGAAUGUUUGCAGUUUUUGCUACCACUGUUAUCACAGAUUUUUAAAAGUCUGAUGUGGUGAUCCACAUGUUUCAAGACAGUCAUAUUUUAGAGGUCAACCUGGGUGAAAGGAAAGCAUUGAGAAGCGGGUCCAGGGAGGUGCUACUGCUCUGAGAACUCAAGAAUCGUGCAGGUGAGCAGGUGUGAAUGAAGACCCCAGCUUCCGACUUAAUGACAAAGAUGGUUUAUAUGCAGUAAUUUUAUAAAAUAAAGGAAGAAAAACAAGUUUGACUCCAUGUGGUCCAGGCAAGGGCUAGGAUAAACAAUGUGAAAAUGCCGGGUCAUUUGUUACUAUUGAUUUAUGUUUUGGGGGAUGGUGUGGUAAUUGCUCUUGCUUUGUGUGCCUGGUGUUUCCUAGAAGCUGUGAUGCUAACGGGAGGUGGGAGAAUUCAAUACGGAUCAAGAUAAUUGAAAGCGAGUUUUGCAGAGAGAGCCAAGUGGUAUAGAGUGGCCUCCUUUGUGCUGUUUUCAGCGUGGGAAUGUGCAUUUGCUUAUAAUUUAAUGAAAAUGCCCAUGAAGACAAAUGAUGCAGUGCCAAAUUUUUAGCAAAUUUCCUAAGUGUUAGAGACUUUGAAAUUAGACUGAAGGGCUUACAUAAUCAUUAAUUUGGUUGCAAGGUUGCAACUUCGAUUGUCUAGUAAAAAUGCCAAUUGGCCAAUCCAGAAAUGUGGCUAACCUUUCACAGAGUCCUCAAACACUUCCUAAAACUGGCGAUGCUAUUGAGACUAUAAGAAUAUCACAGUUUAGUCAAAACUCUGCAACUAUUUUAUGAUAAAUUUAUGUUUAUAAGUGUCAGUUUUUUUCAUUCACAAACUAAAAGCAUUGAGCACUAGGCCAAUGGCAAGCCCCCUUCAGGGUCUGAUUAAAUAAUAUGGUUUGUCCCCCAUAAUAAAACACAUAUGCACAUGUGUUUAAUUUCAAGGGUUCUGAGUCUCUUAGAACCUUUGGUUAAAUUAUCAUAAGAGUUUCUUAUAAUUCUGAGAUCAAGGGCCAAUAUAUUUUCUUAGGAAAAAUUUAAUGAUCCUUUUCGUUUUCCCCGAGUUAAACAAUCAAACAGUACAAAUUAAUUUCAUUUUCUUGUUCUCACAUCUUGCAAAAUCUAUUGCAAUGGAUGUUUGCUUUCAUCUUCUAACAUUUUCUCUGAAACUAUUACUAACAAAGAAUGAAGUAUAGUACAUUCUAAUAGUGUUGUAAGCCUUGCUUCAUGAAAGAGUGAAUUUUGAGCGAAGAUGACAUGUUGCAUAAUUUUGCUAUGUCUACACAAAUGAAUGGUAUAAAACUUUUGGCUUGGGUGAGAGGGUAUUGUGCAGUACAAUCUGAAUUGUAAGUGUUGUUUAAUACAGGGGACUUUGUAUCUGCUUUGGGUGUUCUCAGGGGACAAAAAUGUCAAUUUUCCUUUUUAGAAAGGAAUCAGUUGGAGAGAAUGAUGUUUGCAAAAGUAGGGUCCACUCAUCACUAUCCUAGAUUCAAGUCCCUUUUAGACACAGAUAGACCCUGGGCAGAAUAGCACUGACGAGGCUGUUUCCUAAUGCCCAUGCUGCAGAGUCCCUGUGUGAUGGCUCCCUAGCACUUGGGCUCCCCGUUACUUGCAACGAACCUGCUCAGCUCUUCAGAGGAUUUCUGCUGGGCCUUGUCACUCUCCUUGACCUCAGCUCAUAGUAAGCUGGCUUCUAAGGAGCUUGCUUCAAUGCAGGGGCACUGCUAGUUUUGCCAGGUCAGGUGUUAACACCUGGGAAAGGUCAGGCUACCAUGAGGCUUUGUGUUUUAGUCUGAAGGAUCUUACCACGUGGUGGAAUGCGGUGGGUGUUGGCUUAGGCAUGACCGACUCUCAGAAGGUCACGUGCUUGGAGCAGAGCAGAGGACAUUUCCCACUUCUACACUCCAGAUGGUUUUGGCCUUGCUGGAAGAGGUCACAAAGUGGCUUUGGAAUUCACUCACACAACAGGAGGGCACUUUGCACAGGUGGAGAAUGUGUCCUGAGGACCUAAGCCUAAGAAUCUUCAAGAUGGAAGAGUAGAGUGAGCAACGAAUGAGCCAGAGGGCUCUUGUCCUCUGUGUGCAGCUCUGGGCAGCCAGCAGGUGGAUAUGGGACUUGGCCUGCUGGAGGGGCCCUGGCAAGAGGAGCUGGCAGGAGCAGAUGGCAAAGGUCAUUAUUAGUAUUCUUUUCAUUCAUGAUUAUUACUAAAAAUGAUGUGGCACAGAAGGGCAGGGUGUUAACAAAUGACUCGUCAACAGAGCCAGAUGCAUGGGGUAGGGCUGCUGGGAAGGCCCAUGGUGAGGCAGGUGAGGCUGAACUGUUUGGGUAGGAGCCAGAUGCUGGAGACCCCUGGACCUUCCCUUCCACAACUCCUUGCAGCCCUGAGCUCUUCUGAGGAGCACAAGAAAGCAUCUCUGACCCUUGGAGACAUUCUACAAAUAUUAGAGUCCCCUUUCAGCUAUGACCUGACUUGCUACCUCCGCCCGCAUCAAAACCACCAUCAUUCCUCUCCGCAAAAACGUCCAGACUGGUUUUCUACUUCCACUCUUAUUCACCAUGGCAGUUAGACUAAUGUUAAAAGUGCGUCACAUUUGUUCACCUCCUGCCUCAACACCCUUGGAUGACUGCAUCCCUUCACUCUGGGAGUCAACUCCAGCAUCUUAUUUUGGCUGUCAGCCUUCCUGCCUGUCUUGGGCAUCUUACCUCUGCCCUGGGUUCUGCACUGUCACUGUAAUGCACCAAGCUCACUUCUGUCUUAGGGCAUGGCACUUCUGUUCCCUCUACUUGGACUGUUUUACCCCUGAAUCACCGUGUGACCCAGUCCUCAGCCCACUCAGAUUGUGCUCCAGUGUUCCCCUUCCCAGAGACAUUACUGGCUAAACCAACCUAUGUUCCCCAACUCUCAGCUCUUGAUCCUGCUGCCGUUUGUUUCAUAACCCUUAGCAUUACCCAAUGCUUCAUUUAUUUAUGCUUUCUUUACUGAUUUAUAGAUUGACUCUCUCACCCACUAGAAACUGAGCAUCAGGGGGCAGGGGACAGCUUUUUUCUUGAUCGCCUCCUUAAUCUCAGAUCCUAGAAAAGUGUCUGGUGCAUCAUGGACACUCAAUAAAAACUUGUUAAACUAUUGAA